AUUGAACGCUGGCGGCAGGCCUAACACAUGCAAGUCGAGCGCGAAAGUCUUCGGAUGAGUAGAGCGGCGGACGGGUGCGUAACGCGUAGGAAUCUACCUAGUAGUGGGGGACAACUCGGGGAAACUCGAGCUAAUACCGCAUACGCCCUAAGGGGGAAAGUGGGGGACCGUACGGCCUCACGCUAUUAGAUGAGCCUGCGUAGGAUUAGCUAGUUGGUAGGGUAAAGGCCUACCAAGGCGACGAUCCUUAGCUGGUCUGAGAGGAUGAUCAGCCACACUGGAACUGAGACACGGUCCAGACUCCUACGGGAGGCAGCAGUGGGGAAUCUUGCACAAUGGGCGAAAGCCUGAUGCAGCCAUGCCGCGUGUGUGAAGAAGGCCUUCGGGUUGUAAAGCACUUUAAGUGGGGAGAAAAGGGUAGUCAUUAACACUGGCUAUCUGUGAUGUUACCCACAGAAUAAGCACCGGCAAACUUCGUGCCAGCAGCCGCGGUAA
rnacentral:rRNA from 1 species